AGGGAAUCUUCCGCAAUAGACGAAAGUCUGACGGAGCAACGCCGCGUGAGUGAUGAAGGUUUUCGGAUCGUAAAGCUCUGUUGCCAGGGAAGAACGUCUUGGAGAGUAACUGCUCUAAGAGUGACGGUACCUGAGAAGAAAGCCCCGGCUAACUACGUGCCAGCAGCCGCGGUAAUACGUAGGGGGCGAGCGUUGUCCGGAAUUAUUGGGCGUAAAGCGCGCGCAGGCGGCUGUUUAAGUCUGGUGUUUAAUCCUGGGGCCCAACCCCGGGUCGCACUGGAAACUGGGCAGCUUGAGUGCAGAAGAGGAGAGUGGAAUUCCACGUGUAGCGGUGAAAUGCGUAGAGAUGUGGAGGAACACCAGUGGCGAAGGCGACUCUCUGGGCUGUAACUGACGCUGAGGCGCGAAAGCGUGGGGAGCAAAC
rnacentral:rRNA from 1 species